rnacentral:rRNA from 1 species
UCAGGACGAACGCUGGCGGCGUGCUUAACACAUGCAAGUCGAGCGGUAAGGCCCCUUCGGGGGUACACGAGCGGCGAACGGGUGAGUAACACGUGAGCAACCUACCCUCAACUUUGGGAUAAGCCUCGGAAACGGGGUCUAAUACCGGAUAAUACUGACCGUCUCAUGGUGGUUGGUUGAAAGUUCUGGCGGUUGGGGAUGGGCUCGCGGCCUAUCAGCUUGUUGGUGGGGUAAUGGCCUACCAAGGCGUCGACGGGUAGCCGGCCUGAGAGGGCGACCGGCCACACUGGGACUGAGACACGGCCCAGACUCCUACGGGAGGCAGCAGUGGGGAAUAUUGCGCAAUGGACGAAAGUCUGACGCAGCAACGCCGCGUGAGGGAUGACGGCCUUCGGGUUGUAAACCUCUUUCAGCAGGGACGAAGCGAGAGUGACGGUACCUGCAGAAGAAGGACCGGCCAACUACGUGCCAGCAGCCGCGGUAAUACGUAGGGUCCGAGCGUUGUCCGGAAUUAUUGGGCGUAAAGGGCUCGUAGGCGGUUCGUCACGUCGGGAGUGAAAACUCGGGGCUUAACCCCGAGCCUGCUUCCGAUACGGGCAGACUAGAGGUAGGCAGGGGAGAGCGGAACUCCUGGUGUAGCGGUGGAAUGCGCAGAUAUCAGGAAGAACACCGGUGGCGAAGGCGGCUCUCUGGGC